rnacentral:rRNA from 1 species
CCUACGGGUGGCAGCAGUGGGGGAUAUUGCACAAUGGGGGAAACCCUGAUGCAGCGACGCCGCGUGGGUGAAGAAGCGCCUCGGCGCGUAAAGCCCUGUCAGCAGGGAAGAAAAUGACGGUACCUGAAGAAGAAGCCCCGGCUAACUACGUGCCAGCAGCCGCGGUAAUACGUAGGGGGCAAGCGUUAUACGGAUUUACUGGGUGUAAAGGGGGCGCAGACGGCAGUGCAAGCCAGGAGUGAAAGCCCGGGGCCCAACCCCGGGACUGCUCUUGGAACUGCGUGGCUAGAGUGCAGGAGAGGCAGGCGGAAUGCCUGGUGUAGCGGUGAAAUGCGUAGAUAUCAGGAGGAACACCGGUGGCGAAGGCGGCCUGCUGGACUGCAACUGACGUUGAGGCCCGAAAGCGUGGGGAGCAAACAGGAUUAGAUACCCUAGUAGUC